AACAUCGCCUCUUGACUCUUAUAAGAGGUCCAGCCUGCCCAGUGACCAUGUUCAACGGCCGCGGUAUCCUAACCGUGCGAAGGUAGCGUAAUCACUUGUUCUUUAAAUGUGGACUAGUAUGAAUGGCACCACGAAGGUUAUACUGUCUCCUUUUUCUAAUCAGUGAAACUAAUCUCCCCGUGAAGAAGCGAGGAUAUACCUAUAAGACGAGAAGACCCUAUGGAGCUUUAAACAACACAGCAAUUACCUACUAAACUAAGAAGUUUCUGAACAUUUUCAAUCUUUUAAGUAAUCUGACUGCAAGUUUUUGGUUGGGGUGACCACGGAGCAUAACACAACCUCCAUGUUGAAAGAAUUCUUUCUAAGCCAAGAACAACCUUUCUAAGCAUCAAUAUAUUGACAUCCAUUGACCCAAUACAUUUGACCAACGAACCAAGUUACCCUAGGGAUAACAGCGCAAUCCACUUCAAGAGCUCCUAUCGACAAGUGGGUUUACGACCUCGAUGUUGGAUCAGGGUAUCCCAGUGGUGCAGCCGCUACUAAAGGUUCGUUUGUUCAACGAUUAAAACCCUACGUGAUCU
rnacentral:rRNA from 1 species